rnacentral:rRNA from 1 species
CACGCCGUAAACGAUGAGUGCUAGGUGUUGGGGGUCAAACCUCGGUGCCGCAGUUAACACAUUAAGCACUCCGCCUGGGGAGUACGUGCGCAAGCAUGAAACUCAAAGGAAUUGACGGGGACCCGCACAAGCAGCGGAGCAUGUGGUUUAAUUCGAUGCAACGCGAAGAACCUUACCAGGGCUUGACAUAUAUGCGCUAGCACUAGAGAUAGUGGGUUCUCUUCGGAGACGUAUAUACAGGUGG